rnacentral:tRNA from 1 species
GGGUCGUUAGCUCAGUUGGUAGAGCAGUUGACUUUUAAUCAAUUGGUCGCAGGUUCGAAUCNUGCACGACCCA